rnacentral:lncRNA from 1 species
UGCAUACAUGAAGACUUCUCAUCAUCCCUAAAUCCUGAAUAUGUUCCUGGUUAUAGAAAUAUUGAUUGGUACAUAUAGUAUCGUCUCUAUAUAUAGGGAAUGUCAAGAUCUUAAGUCAUUAAGUGUGAAUACACAUCAAUAUGUGUUUAGCCAAGUAAAUUUUCAAUCUUGAACCCAGAUGGGUUUUUGGCUUUGAACACAAUUCCAACAAGCUACUGGAGACCAGCAAUUUUUUUUCCUUCCCUGCUUCGCCAAAGAGCUCGAAUGAGAGAAAUCAAUCGAAGAGAGAAGAGGUUAAAAUCAAUCGCCGGAAAAUCCAAAUUGGGGGCUGGGUAAUAUGGGUUUCGAUUGUGUUGGUUCUGGGCACAGAUAUAUUUAAGUAGGCUGCGGAGUAGAAGAAUGAAAAAUUGAAUUUACUUCCUGCAAAAUUUUGUUAAGAUGCUGGAUACAAAUCAAACCUUACUUUAAAGACAAAAUUUCUGGGGUAGAGGAUUGCCAAAAGCAAGCUAAUAUAUCUGAGUAAGGCAACAUCAGGUGGCUAAAAAUAAUUACAUCCUCAUCCUGUUUCAACAUACCAGAUCACAGAGCCUUGAUAUCUACCUUCCCUUGAUACACACUUGACGAUUGAGGUACUUCGCCAAGAUAUCUGUUCACAAAUAUCUCCAAGAACUGCUUCUCCGCAGGUUUCAGCAGAGAACCCAGACUCAAGUUCUCAUUUAUGAGACCUUUCAACAGCAGAACUUCAACAACAGAGCACCUUGGAAUAAGUCAAAUUGAACCAAAUUGGGGGCUGGGGGUUUUGGAAGAGAUUUUUCGGUGAUUGUCUUGGCUAUUGUUGGGGUAGGGUGGGCUGAGGCAUAGGAGGAAGGAACAGGGAGAGAGAAGAAGAGACGAGGAGAUAAGAGGGUUCGCAGAGGGGAGCUGG